UGGUUCUGGCAUCGAUGAAGAACGCAGCGAAAUGCGAUAAGUAAUGUGAAUUGCAGAAUUCAGUGAAUCAUCGAAUCUUUGAACGCACAUUGCGCCCCUUGGUAUUCCGGGGGGCAUGCCUGUUCGAGCGUCAUUAUAACCCAUCUAGCUUAGCUAGGUCUUGGGCUCUGCCUCUGGGCGGGCCUCAAAUCAAGUGGCGGUGCUGUCAGGCUCUAAGCGUAGUAACUAUUUCGCUAUAGACCCCUGGUGGAUGCUGGCCAGCAACCCCUAAACAUUUCAGGUUGACCUCGGAUCAGGUAGGGAUACCCGCUGA
rnacentral:misc_RNA from 1 species